GAUUGGCGGGGCGAGGAAAAUUCGUGCGUGUCUUACUUUCUUUUCGUUGCUCGUUUUGGGAAGACGCAAAGGUGUCGGUUGAAUAUUAGUUCGCUGGUGUAAUGUCGUAAAAGAUUGGUUUCCGUCAUCUAUUGAAGUAUUACCUUUCACGGAAUCAUCUUAUUAAACUAUGGAUUGAUUGUUUGGUUAAUCAAUAUCGUAGUGAACUCUUUUGAGAGGCUUUUAAACGAAUUACCAGCGAAACUAUUGACCGUAUCUUCCUGGUCGUUAUUAAUUAUCAUACAACGUCAAUCUUUCCAAUAGACCUUCUUUAAUAAGAGGGUCCUUGUAUCCCGUUUAAAUUUGCACAUUAACAUAUGUCACCGGAGGGACGUCCAUUUUGAAUUAUUACCAACAGAUGCCUUCAUCUGAAUACACAUUCAGCAGUAAUCAGCCGUUUGGAACCAUGAGAUAGAAUACAUGACCUAUAUCUGAGCUUAUCACCGUCGAAAUAAUUACUUAGCCUAUAUCAAUUAUCUGACCAGUUUUGGGGAAAUUUUCACUAUUUUAAAUUUAACUGUAAGCGUAAUUCUGGUUAACGAUCUUUCGAUUAAUGCCGACAUAAUUGGCUCUGAUUAUUGUUUUUGCAUUUGAGAUCUCCUUCGGAGACAUGAUUUAAUAUUGGUUUGUCCUAUUACGAUCGUGGGAAGUACCGCAAGUGGUAAGCCCCUCAGGCACCGUUAAGUACCUCACUGUAGCAUUUUUGAUUCACCGAGGCAUUCUCGGUUAAUUUGUCCUUUUAUUCUUUAUUAUAGCUACUAGGUUGA